rnacentral:rRNA from 1 species
CCUAUGGGUGGCAGCAGUAGGGAAUAUUGCUCAAUGGGGGAAACCCUGAUGCAGCAACGCCGCGUGGAGGAUGGAGGUUUUAGGCUUGUAAACUCCUUUUUUUAGAGAAGAUUAUGACGGUAUCUAACGAAUAAGCACCGGCUAACUCCGUGCCAGCAGCCGCGGUAAUACGUAGGGUGCAAGCGUUACUCGGAAUCACUGGGGGUAAAGAGUGCGUAGGCGGGGUAAUAAGUCAGAUGUGAAAUCCUGUAGCUUAACUACAGGACUGCAGUUGAAACUGGUACGCUGGAGUGUGGGAGAGGUAGGUGGAAUUCUUGGUGUAGGGGUGAAAUGCGUAGAGAUCAAGAGGAAUACACAUGGCGAAGGCGACCUGCUGGAACAUUACUGACGCUGAGGCACGAAAGCGUGGGGAGCAAACAGGAUUAGAUACCCCUGUAGUC